rnacentral:rRNA from 1 species
AGUGAACGCUGGCGGUAGGCCUAACACAUGCAAGUCGAACGGCAGCACAGUAAGAGCUUGCUCUUACGGGUGGCGAGUGGCGGACGGGUGAGGAAUACAUCGGAAUCUACUUUUUCGUGGGGGAUAACGUAGGGAAACUUACGCUAAUACCGCGUACGACCUACGGGUGAAAGCAGGGGAUCUUCGGACCUUGCGCGAUUGAAUGAGCCGAUGUCGGAUUAGCUAGUUGGCGGGGUAAAGGCCCACCAAGGCGACGAUCCGUAGCUGGUCUGAGAGGAUGAUCAGCCACACUGGAGCUGAGACACGGUCCAGACUCCUACGGGAGGCAGCAGUGGGGAAUAUUGGACAAUGGGCGCAAGCCUGAUCCAGCCAUACCGCGUGGGUGAAGAAGGCCUUCGGGUUGUAAAGCCCUUUUGUUGGGAAAGAAAAGCAGCAGGUUAAUACCCCGCUGUUCUGACGGUACCCAAAGAAUAAGCACCGGCUAACUUCGU